UACGUAGGGGGCGAGCGUUGUCCGGAUUUAUUGGGCGUAAAGAGCGUGUAGGCGGCCCGGUAAGUCCGCUGUGAAAGUCCAGGGCUCAACCCUGGGAUGCCGGUGGAUACUGUCGGGCUCGAGUCCGGAAGAGGAGUGUGGAAUUCCUGGUGUAGCGGUGAAAUGCGCAGAUAUCAGGAGGAACACCGGUGGCGAAGGCGGUUCGUCUGGGACGGUACUGACGCUGAGACGCGAAAGCGUGGGGAGCGAACAGG
rnacentral:rRNA from 1 species